rnacentral:rRNA from 1 species
GACGAACGCUGGCGGCGUGCCUAACACAUGCAAGUCGAGCGAGAACGCCUCCUUCGGGAGGUUAGUAAAGCGGCGAACGGGUGAGUAACACGUGAGCGAUCUACCCGGCGGCGGGGGAUAACUCAGGGAAACCUGAGCUAAUACCGCAUACAACACUGGCGUGGAAGCCGGAUGUGAAAGCUGGCCUCUCGAAGAAGCUGGCACCGUCGGAUGAGCUCGCGGCCUAUCAGCUUGUUGGUGGGGUAACGGCCUACCAAGGCGAUGACGGGUAGCUGGCGUGAGAGCGUGGCCAGCCACACUGGGACUGAGACACGGCCCAGACUCCUACGGGAGGCAGCAGUGGGGAAUAUUGCGCAAUGGGCGAAAGCCUGACGCAGCGACGCCGCGUGGGGGAGGAAGGCCUCAGGGUUGUAAACCCCUGUCAGGUGGGACGAACCACGGAUCGGCUAACACCCGGUCCGCCUGACGUACCACCAGAGAAGCUCCGCUAAC